UACGUAGGGGGCAAGCGUUGUCCGGAAUCAUUGGGCGUAAAGAGCGUGUAGGCGGUUCGGUAAGUCGGCUGUGAAAGUCCAGGGCUCAACCCUGGGAUGCCGGUCGAUACUGCCGGACUAGAGUUCGGAAGAGGCGAGUGGAAUUCCCGGUGUAGCGGUGAAAUGCGUAGAUAUCAGGAGGAACACCGGUGGUGUAGGCGGCUUGCUGGACCAUAACUGACGCUGAGGCACGAAAGCGUGGGGAGCAAACAGG
rnacentral:rRNA from 1 species